AUAUAUAGUGCUUCCUCUGCCUGUCUUACAGCAAUUUGCCUUGCAGAGUUCUAGCAAAAAGGUGGCAUGUGUUUUUACUUUCAAAUAUUUAAAUUUCCAUCAUUAUAACAAAAUCAAUUUUUCAGAGUAAUGAUUCUCACUGUGGAGUCAUUUGAUUAUUAAGACCCGUUGGCAUAAGAUUACAUCCUCUGACUAUAAAAAUCCUGGAAGAAAACCUAGGAAAUAUUUGUCUGGACAUUGCACUUGGCAAUGAAUUUAUGGGCGCUUUGGAAUCCUGCAAAUAUAAUAAUGAUAAUUAAACAAAACACUCAGAGAAACUGCCAACCCUAGGAUGAAGUAUAUUGUUACUGUGCUUUGGGAUUAAAAUAAGUAACUACAGUUUAUAGAACUUGUAUACUGAUACACAGACGCUAAAAAGGGAAAGGGUUUAGAUGAGAAGCUCUGCUAUGCAAUCAAGAAUCUCAGCCACUCAUUUCUGUAGGGGCUGCAGGAGCUCCCUGUAAAGAGAGGUUAUGGAGUGUGUAGCUUCAGGCAACCACUGAUCCACUUCCAGUCACUAUCCAUGAGUUUUUAUUUCCAAAUACAUGAAAUCAUAUGGUUUUGGCUGUUGCAAGUAAAGCUGCUAUGAAGAUUCAUGUAAAAUCCUUUGAAUGGGCAUGUGCUCUUAGUUUUCAUCUCUAAUAGAAGUGGAAUAGACAGCUAUCAUGUCUGUAAUAUGCAAACACAAAGGCUGACAAAACUGAUUUCUAAAGUGGAAACUCCACUGGAUAACCUUGACUCCAGCCUGGCUUUUGAGAUUAUCUCCUAUGUUUGUGCAAUGAUUGGUCCUGGGGUAGCCACAUGACCCAAGGAGGACCAUGUUUAAACUGAGUUUUCAUCGAGAUUAACAUGCAUUUGUUGAAAGAGAAAGCCCUUUUCUUCUAAUCCCCCAGCUGCAAAUGCUUUCAGGGAUCACAUCAUGUUGGAACAUUUGGUUACAGUGUUUCCUAAACUUCGAGGGUAAAAAUUGUUGAAGUAGGUAAAAAUGGAGCAAAUACAAAGAAAAAAGGAGUCCAGAAACAUCAAAUAAAAAAGAAAGGGCCUCCAUAAAAUCAUUUGAACUUAUGAUUAAUUCAUUAGUCAUUAAAACAAGUUUAAUGUACAAAGAAUCAUCCCCCCAACCACCCUUUAUACCUUCACCAAGUUUAAGUUACAUUUUUUUAACUUGCAAACAAAAGAUUUGUCAUUAACUUAGACAUCAAAACCCCUUGUCUGCAAGAGCAAUCAUUCAACUCUGUCCCUCUCAUUGUUACCAUAAUAUGUUCACUUCAUUUUGCAUACACCUGCUCUUUGCCCUUGUCUCCCUAUUCUAUUCUAUUAAAGUUACAUCCAGACAUUUAUUUCAUUUUGUAUCAAAGAAACUGUAUACAUGUUUUUAAUCUUAGAAAAAUUUCUGAGUAAUUUUUUGUCUCAUAUUUGAUUUUAAGCCACCCAAGAAGCAUUAUUUUUUCACUUAGUAUUUUAACUUUUCUAACCCAGGACUUUUAUAGUAGAUAUUAUGUCUUUUUCUAAAUGCUCUGCUUCAAUUUACAUUUUAAAUCUAAUUUUUAAAAAGUGUAUGUUUUCAAUAUUUGCAUCAUGUAUCUCAGGCCUAAAUAUCCCUUGAUAACCAAUACUGCCUUUUUUUCUCUGCAUUUUUCACAUAUUUCAAUAGGGAGCUAUAUUGCCUGACACAAUAAAAGUUUUUGCCAAUAUAACAUAACACAUAGGCAAAAUUUUGUUUCCAAGUGAUUGAUGAUGUGGUGCCUUCAGUCUAGUCCCAAUCCCUCAAUGUAAUCAUCAUCCCUACCUAAUGAAAUAUGAAAUAAAUAUUUCACUUUGUUUCUAAAAUUCAGCAGACAAAUAUAUAGCCUGUCACAUAUAGCCUGUAACACCAACAUAUAAAAAUUAAAGCAGUUCCUUCUCCACUCCCACUGCUUCACUUGACUAGCCUUGAAAAAUAAUAACAAUAAUAAAAAAUGAAAGCAAAAUUGUUCCUUUACUUAUCUUUGAAAUUUAAUGGAUAUACUGUCAGAAAAGCUCUUAUAUAUAUAUGGAGGGCCUCUAUAAAAUAUAGACUCUUAACUAGAAAAGUAGACUUACAUGAUGGUUAAAUUAGAAACACAAUUAUAUAUAGUACCUUCACAAAUGCACCAGUACUUAUUUCAGAAUGCACGAUGUAAUUGACUAAACCAUUUAGGGCUAGACCUCUGCAAUAAAAGGCAUUCACACUUUGUGAUUCUAAGGGGAAAAUAUUAUUCAAAAUAGAAGCAUGCAGAAACUUUACCUGAUCAUGAUAAAAAAAUGUUCCUACUUGUUGUUAAUAUGCCACAGCUUUUACAAGGUCAGCAAAAAGAGAUUAUCCCACAAUAUAAGCUGAUGGCCAAAAUUAUCUGCCUUACUUUAGUUACCAUAAUAUCUAUUAAGUGUAAAUUUCUUCUGAAAGAAAACAGAUACAUUUUUCUCAGAAAUGUCUUUAGAUGAAGAUCUAGCACAUCUGUUUUUCUAACUUUUGAAAAUUUUGUUUUUAUUGAUAAAUAUAUAUGGGGUACAAUGUGGUACAAUACAUGUAAAUAUUGUGACAUGGACAAAUUAGGCUAAAUAAUAUAUCCUUCACCUCAGAUAUUUAUUACAUUAUGGUGAAACAUUUAAAAUGUACUAUUUUAGCGCUUUUAAGAUAUGCACUAUAUUAUGAGUAACUGCAGUCACUUUGCUGUGUACCAUAUCACCAGAAUGUAUUUCUCCUAACUGAAGCAUUAUCCCAUUGAAUAUUUCCCUUUUUUCCACCCCCGCCACCCGACCUGCUCAGCCUCUGAUAAACCACCAUUCUGCUCUU